rnacentral:rRNA from 1 species
AUACGUAGGUGACAAGCGUUAUCCGGAUUUACUGGGCGUAAAGGGCGCGUAGGCGGCCCGGUAAGUCUGGAGUGAAAGUCCUGUUUUUAAGAUGGGAAUUGCUUUGGAUACUGUCGGGCUUGAGUGCAGGAGAGGUAAGUGGAAUUCCCAGUGUAGCGGUGAAAUGCGUAGAGAUUGGGAGGAACACCAGUGGCGAAGGCGACUUACUGGACUGUAACUGACGCUGAGGCGCGAAAGUGUGGGGAGCAAACAGGAUUAGAUACCCUGGUAGUCCACACUGUAAACGAUGAAUGCUAGGUGUAGGGGGUAUCGACCCCUUCUGUGCCGCAGUCAACACAAUAAGCAUUCCGCCUGGGGAGUACGGCCGCAAGGUUGAAACUCAAAUGAAUUGACGGGG